rnacentral:rRNA from 1 species
CGUAGUUAGCCGUCUCUUCUUCCUGGCUUACUGUCCUUUCUCUUCAGCCAGAAAAGUCCUUUACAAUCCGAAGACCUUCAUCGGACACGCGGCGUUGCUGCCUCAGACUUUCGUCCAUUGGGCAAUAUUCCUU